UGGGGAAUUUUGGACAAUGGGCGAAAGCCUGAUCCAGCCAUGCCGCGUGCAGGAUGAAGGCCUUCGGGUUGUAAACUGCUUUUGUACGGAACGAAAAAGUCUUCUCUAAUACAGGGGGCGAAUGACGGUACCGUAAGAAUAAGCACCGGCUAACUACGUGCCAGCAGCCGCGGUAAUACGUAGGGUGCGAGCGUUAAUCGGAAUUACUGGGCGUAAAGCGUGCGCAGGCGGUUAUAUAAGACAGAUGUGAAAUCCCCGGGCUCAACCUGGGAACUGCAUUAGUGACUGUAUAGCUAGAGUGCGGCAGAGGGGGAUGGAAUUCCGCGUGUAGCAGUGAAAUGCGUAGAUAUGCGGAGGAACACCGAUGGCGAAGGCAAUCCCCUGGGCCUGCACUGACGCUCAUGCACGAAAGCGUGGGGAGCAAACAGG
rnacentral:rRNA from 1 species